rnacentral:lncRNA from 1 species
GAUAUUAGAAUACAAUUGACAGAUUUCACAUGACUCUACAAAUGAGAGCACAUCUCGAUACAUAUUUUUCCACCAAUAUCGUUCCUUGAGUUUAGCAAAAGCAGCCCAGAUUCUUCUAUGCCCUGCCCAUAAACUAUCAUGAAACUCCUUUAAUAAUUUUAGUUUUUCUUCCCUUUUGCCUAUCACUCGUUGUGGCAUCC